UACUUUGUAGCUCAGAGGUAGAGCAGCCGAAGGUUUCGGCCGGUCGCAGGUUCGACUCCUGCCAGAGUAA
rnacentral:tRNA from 1 species